rnacentral:lncRNA from 1 species
CAGAAGCCUCCUCUCAGUCUCGCCCUGCCCUGGAUUUAGAGUCAUGCCCUGACUGUAAAGUGCGAGAUGUUCUUUGAUGUCUCUUCAGCAGUGCACGGCUCCUCUUCGCUGCUCCUCGCCAUCAUCUGCAGCAAUUUCCUAGAGCCAGAGGAGGGAUGUGUUUGGAGCAGGCCCCUUGCUGACAAGGUGUGAACAGAUUGAUGGCCGUCCCGUCCCACCUGGCGGCACAGGAAUACACGCAGCCUGAGCGGGCUGCCGGGAAUCCCCCUCCCAACCUGAGCCCUGCAGAAACAGGUUUUGGCUUUGAAUGAGAGCAGAGGUCACAUUCAGAAAGAGAGAAGGGUGUGUACAUGUGUGUAAGCGUGGUGGGAGCUCAGAAGAAUGUAAGUUUGGGAUCUGAAAGCAUCGCACUCCUGAACUAUGAUUAUUUAUUAUGCUGAUAGUGCCUAGAGGGCCCAGCCUCAUUGUGCUAAGGACUUCACAGGCACAGAAUGAAGAGACAGUCCCUGCCUGGAAGACGGAUGAGGAAAACCUACCUACAGGGGCUGGGAACAGGUGUGGCAUCUAUCCAUCACGCUGAUGGAGUGUGUUUGCAAGAUGGGUAUGUGAGCGUGUGCGAGUGUAGGGGAGACAGCAGGAGAAGGAGAAAGUUGGAUGGUGAUUUUAAUCUCUCUGGCUCUAAAGAAGGGUUUUAUUUUUUCUUUUAACCUCACCUUUCUUCUCCAGUAGUGAUUAUCCACAGGUGACACGGGAGAAAUAGGAAAACAGGAGGGCUGAACACUGCUGUUUCCCUGCAUCUCCAGCCAGCAGCGGCUGUGGGCUUCUUCUGAGCUCGUGGACUUCCUCCUCCAAGGCACUUCCAGCAGCAGUUACCUAGAGGAAAGCACAAGGGCAGACUGAGCGUGCUUUUCCAAUGGCUUCCAGUUAUGCCAAACAGCAGAAAGCCUGGAGAAGACAUCUGAAGGCUGGGCUUGGGGUGAAGAGGCAUUGCAUGAGGACAGGACAUUCCACGCCUGGCUGCUGAAUGGCUGUAGGAAGCAGUUUCUUCGGAUAGUUUUACAGCAUGCUGGUGGCCAGCAGGAUUGUUUGAAGGAGGAGAAACCUGCUUCAUGCAUCCCAUGUCCCUGCAUCUUCUGGAAGCUGGACAGGUUCCGCAGCUCUCGAGGCCCUCUCCAAGCAGGAGUCCUGGGCUGAUGGAAGUGGGCAGUGUCUUCUCCAGAAGCACCCAGCCAGGAGCCAGCUAACAAAAGAAAUCCAGAGAAGAGCAAAAAGCGUUGUGUUUAUGAAGAACAAUUGAACAGGCCAGACAUCUCCAGCCUGUGAGGGAUACAGCAGAGGUCUAUAAAAUCAUGAGUGGCCUGGAAAAAAAUGAAUUGAUUGCUGCUCUUACCUGUUUCCAGAAAAAGCACUUUCAGAAGAAACCAAAGGUGAAAAUGUCUUGUCACCUGGGCAAAGGAACUAACGUGAAAGAGCAAUCUCAGCUCCAGGAGCUCGUGUUCAAGAAGUGAAACGGAGCCAACAUCUGAUUAAGGCAGAUUCGGUCAGGUCAGGGAAAUGAGCUUCCCCAGGGACUUUCUACUGCUGCUGAAAGAGCUCAAGGUUUAAGACUCCUAUCUGCCCCACAGAAACAGAAAUGAUGGGAAUGUGGUUGCCACAGAUGAGGUAACAACAGCAAGCUGAAGUGGCUUUGAUUUAUUUUUUUUAUUCUUCUCAGUACAAGGGACAGCAGCAUAGGAGUACAUGCGAUAGUGGUGGUUGACCAGAGGUUUGUGCAGCGGUGACCUGAGAAAGCAUACUGAUACGAAUCAUAUGUGCAUGGAUGUGUACUUACAUACAUGUUUUUUUUAGCUACCUGUGGCUCAGUUUCAGAGAAGCUCAGCUCUGGUUCCCAUUACAGAUUUACUCAAGUGAAAAUUUGUUGGAAUGGAAAAAGAUUGGUAAUAACUAAAAAUAGCAGUUGACCUCUACUAUGUGUUUCCACCUAUGUUUACUUUUAAGACAGCGAUAAUGAUUAUUUGUGGAAUAUCUUCAAAUAAACAAGAAAGUGGGC